GAUGAACGCUGGCGGCGUGCCUAAUACAUGCAAGUCGAGCGAACAGACGAGGAGCUUGCUCCUCUGACGUUAGCGGCGGACGGGUGAGUAACACGUGGAUAACCUACCUAUAAGACUGGGGUAACUUCGGGAAACCGGAGCUAAUACCGGAUAAUAUAUUGAACCGCAUGGUUCAAUAGUGAAAGCGGGUUUUGCUGACACUAAUAGAUGUAACCGGGCCGCAUUAGCUAGUUGGUAAGGUAACGGCUUACCAAGGCAACGAUGCGUAGCUGACCUGAGAGGGUGAUCGGCCACACUGGAACUGAGACACGGUCCAGACUCCUACGGGAGGCAGCAGUAGGGAAUCUUCCGCAAUGGGCGAAGGCCUGACGGAGCAACGCCGCGUGAGUGAGGAAGGUCUUCGGAUCGUAAAACUCUGUUAUUAGGAAAGAACAAAUGUGUAAGUAACUAUGCACGUCUUGACGGUACCUAAGCAGAAAGCCACGGCUAACUACGUG
rnacentral:rRNA from 1 species